CCACCCCCAAACCACAACACUAUUGGCGAAAACUGGGAAGCUCUGCACGUUUCAUUGGGGAACUCUACAAAUCCCGCCCUGUACCGCCUGAACCACAGGCCUAACAAAUCGGCUCCCGCCUCCGCCGGUCUUUGCAUUGGAAGCUACCUCUGGCUCUCCCACUGCCUCAGGAAGAGAUGAAGGUAUGUGAUACCCGAUUACAAUUCUUGGACUUGGAUAGGACCACCACCCCAAGACCGUGGUUGAUGAAGAUGUUGGCAUCCUACCUCGAAUCCAGGUUGGUCACUGUGAGGAAGCCAAAUCUGAUCCGAGUAUCCUUUUCUAAAGGCCAGUACUGGCCGCACUUCCUCCUGCCACCUUCCUCAAAGCUGAAGACACAGGGCAAAGUCAGCCACAUCCCUCCCUCUGCAGCAAAAACCCGCUCCCCAUGACUGCUGUCCACAAGGUGGCAAUGUUGUCUCCCACAUUACU